rnacentral:misc_RNA from 1 species
CCAAAACUCACAUGCUGCUUCUUGCCUGUCAUGGGUUCGAGUCGAGCACGUGUGGAUUUGAGCGCUUUGCCCUGGUCCCUGCGGCUGGGACAAUCGCUUUGAAAUGAUUGUGCGUAGGGCAGAAGAUACAUCCAGGACUGUGUGCUAGCACAGUCCCGGAUGUGCAUCCGCUCGACUCUCAGUGCAACAGAUCAUUGAAACACUUUGAGUUCGAGAGUUGAUGCGGGCACCUGUGUGUUCAUCUCUGUGUCAUGCUUUCCAAUUAAAUACGGCUGCCUGCUGGCAAAGUUUGCCAGUGGCUCCGAUA